rnacentral:lncRNA from 1 species
UCCUACCCUCGCUAGGCAUGACUAUUGUAGUGUAAAAUUUGUGCAAAAAGAUAAGUUUGGGGUGGUAAUCCUUAGAAGAAAUGUUGGAAAAAGGGCAAGUGCAAGAAAAAGAAAAAGAAAAACUGUGUAGAAACAUCCGCUUCUACCGGAAAAAAAAAAGAGAAAAAGAAAUGAAAAAAAUAGAGAAAUGAAGUAUAAUCACUUGCCUAGGCAAUAGACUCAUGCAUUAAUGUGAUACUCUAAAGAAAAAUUCGAGUGAAAAAGAGUCAAGAUUGGACGACACCCCAUAAAAUAAUUCUUGCACAAAGAAAAACAACAACAUGAAUGCCGAGUUAUAAAACCUUUUGUCAUCCAUUUUUUUGUCUACUCUCCCACCGUACCUAAGCCCCGUUACAACCCAGAAGACCUCUUAAAGUGUGUG